UACCACAUCCAAGGAAGGCAGCAGGCACGCAAAUUACCCAAUGCCAGCUCUGGGAGGUAGUGACGAAAAAUAACAAUGCGGGACUCUUGCGAGUCUGCGUAAUUGGAAUGAGCACACUUUAAAUCCUUUAGCAACAACCAAUUGGAGGGCAAGUCUGGUGCCAGCAGCCGCGGUAAUUCCAGCUCCAAUAGCGUAUAUUAAAGUUGUUGCGGUUAAAAAGCUCGUAGUUCGAGUUGAGUUGCGGACUGAUGUGGGAGGUCACCGCCCGGUGCUUGCCCGUCAGGUUCCGGACAGCUUUCCCCUUGUUGGGAAGCGGAGUCGGUUCCGCCGGGGUGCUCUUUACCGAGUGUCCCGUGCGGCCGACCAGUUCACCUUGAAUAAAUGAGAGUGCUCAAAGCAGGCUGUUCUCUUGUUAGUAUGCCCGAAUGUUAUCUGCAUGGAAUGAUGGAAGAUGAUCUCGGUUCCAUUUUGUUGGUUUGAGGGAGCCAGAGAUAAUGAUAAAGAGGGACUGUCGGGGGCAUCCGUACUACGACGCGAGAGGUGAAAU
rnacentral:rRNA from 3 species